rnacentral:rRNA from 1 species
AGUCAAUGAUCGCAAGAUUGAUCUAGUUACUUAGAAAGAUGAUACUUAUGACAAAUAAUUAAUUAAAUUAAUUAAUUAUAUAAUAAAAAUAAGGAUGAAAAAUAUAAAAUCUAAUUAUAAUAACAUAUUAUUAAUAAUAUGUACAAGGAUAAUGACCUUAAAUUAUAAUUAAGUUCCAACCAAGAGUAGUGCCAGCAGUUGCGGUUAGACUACGGGAGCAAAUGUUAACCAGUACUUGGCUUAAAGGAUCCGCAGGUUAAAUAAUUAAAUUAUUUUAGAGUAUAAUAUAAUAGGAUAUUGAAUAAUUACAGAAAGAUAUAAAAAAUGAUGAUCGUAAUUAGACAGAUAAUAGCGAAAGUUAUAUUCAUUAUACAUACUGACACUGAGGGAUGAAGGUAUGAGUAGCAAUUUGGAUUAGAUACCCAAUUAGUUCAUACAGUAAACUAUGAGUACUAUAUAAAUAAUAAUAAAAAUAUUAUAUAAGAGAUAUAAGUGAAAACUUAAGUACUCCGCCAGACGAGUAUACUCUCAAGAGUGAAACUCAAGACAAUAGACGGUUACAGGAAUACGCAGUGGAUUGUGUUAU